CCUACGGGAGGCAGCAGUAAGGAAUAUUGGACAAUGGACGCAAGUCUGAUCCAGCCAUGCCGCGUGAAGGAUUAAGGCCCUCUGGGUUGUAAACUUCUUUUAUAGGGGACGAAAAAAGGGCUUUCUAGCUCGACUGACGGUACCCUAUGAAUAAGCACCGGCUAACUCCGUGCCAGCAGCCGCGGUAAUACGGAGGGUGCAAGCGUUAUCCGGAUUCACUGGGUUUAAAGGGUGCGUAGGCGGGCAGUUAAGUCAGUGGUGAAAUCUCUGGGCUCAACCCCGGAAACUGCCAUUGAUACUAUCUGUCUUGAAUAUUGUGGAGGCGAGCGGAAUAUGUCAUGUAGCGGUGAAAUGCUUAGAUAUGACAUAGAACACCGAUUGCGUAGGCAGCUCGCUACACAUAUAUUGACGCUGAGCACGAAGACGUGGAGUACAACAGAUAGAUACCUACGUAGUACACCGACCCUAACCUACUAGUAUUACUCGUACAUAUG
rnacentral:rRNA from 1 species